rnacentral:rRNA from 1 species
GACGGAGGAUGCAAGUGUUAUCCGGAAUCACUGGGCGUAAAGCGUCUGUAGGUGGUUCGAAAAGUCCACUGUUAAAAAUUGAGGCUUAACUUCAAAGAUGCCGUGGAAACUUUCAAACUAGAGUAUGGUAGGGGUAGAGGGAAUUUCCAGUGGAGCGGUGAAAUGCGUAGAUAUUGGAAAGACCACCGAUGGCGAAGGCAAUCCCCUGGGCCUGCACUGACGCUCAUGCACGAAAGCGUGGGGAGCAAACAGG